rnacentral:rRNA from 1 species
GAAAAAGAGGAGUGGCGAACGGGUGAGUAACACGUGGGUAACCUGCCCAUCAGAAGGGGAUAACACUUGGAAACAGGUGCUAAUACCGUAUAACAAUCGAAACCGCAUGGUUUUGAUUUGAAAGGCGCUUUCGGGUGUCGCUGAUGGAUGGACCCGCGGUGCAUUAGCUAGUUGGUGAGGUAACGGCUCACCAAGGCCACGAUGCAUAGCCGACCUGAGAGGGUGAUCGGCCACAUUGGGACUGAGACACGGCCCAAACUCCUACGGGAGGCAGCAGUAGGGAAUCUUCGGCAAUGGACGAAAGUCUGACCGAGCAACGCCGCGUGAGUGAAGAAGGUUUUCGGAUCGUAAAACUCUGUUGUUAGAGAAGAACAAGGAUGAGAGUAACUGUUCAUCCCUUGACGGUAUCUAACCAGAAAGCCACGGCUAACUACGUGCCAGCAGCCGCGGUAAUACGUAGGUGGCAAGCGUUGUCCGGAUUUAUUGGGCGUAAAGCGAGCGCAGGCGGUUUCUUAAGUCUGAUGUGAAAGCCCCCGGCUCAACCGGGGAGGGUCAUUGGAAACUGGGAGACUUGAGUGCAGAAGAGGAGAGUGGAAUUCCAUGUGUAGCGGUGAAAUGCGUAGAUAUAUGGAG